rnacentral:rRNA from 1 species
AGCGAACGCUGGCGGCAGGCCUAACACAUGCAAGUCGAACGAACUCUUCGGAGUUAGUGGCGGACGGGUGAGUAACACGUGGGAACGUGCCUUUUGGUUCGGAAUAACUCAGGGAAACUUGUGCUAAUACCGAAUGUGCCCUUCGGGGGAAAGAUUUAACGCCAUUAGAGCGGCCCGCGUCUGAUUAGCUAGUUGGUGAGGUAACGGCUCACCAAGGCGACGAUCAGUAGCUGGUCUGAGAGGAUGACCAGCCACACUGGGACUGAGACACGGCCCAGACUCCUACGGGAGGCAGCAGUGGGGAAUCUUGCGCAAUGGGCGAAAGCCUGACGCGGCCAUGCCGCGUGAAUGAUGAAGGUCUUAGGAUUGUAAAAUUCUUUCACCGGGGACGAUAAUGACGGUACCCGGAGAAGAAGCCCCGGCUAACUUCGUG